rnacentral:rRNA from 1 species
UACGUAGGGCGCGAGCGUUAUCCGGAUUCACUGGGUUUAAAGGGUGCGUAGGAGGGCAGGUAAGUCAGUGGUGAAAUCUCCAAGCUUAACUUGGAAACUGCCGUUGAUACUAUCUGUCUUGAAUACCGUGGAGGUGAGCGGAAUAUGUCAUGUAGCGGUGAAAUGCGUAGAUAUGACAUAGAACACCAAUUGCGAAGGCAGCUCGCUGGACGAAUAUUGACGCUGAGGCACGAAAGCGUGGGGAGCAAACAGG